rnacentral:rRNA from 1 species
UGGGGAAUUUUGGACAAUGGGGGAAACCCUGAUCCAGCCAUCCCGCGUGUGCGAUGAAGGCCUUCGGGUUGUAAAGCAUUUUUGGCAGGAAAGAAACGUCAUGGGUUAAUACCCCGUGAAACUGACGGUACCUGCAGAAUAAGCACCGGCUAACUACGUGCCAGCAGCCGCGGUAAUACGUAGGGUGCAAGCGUUAAUCGGAAUUACUGGGCGUAAAGCGUGCGCAGGCGGUUCGGAAAGAAAGAUGUGAAAUCCCAGAGCUCAACUUUGGAACUGCAUUUUUAACUACCGGGCUAGAGUGUGUCAGAGGGAGGUGGAAUUCCGCGUGUAGCAGUGAAAUGCGUAGAUAUGCGGAGGAACACCGAUGGCGAAGGCAGCCUCCUGGGAUAACACUGACGUUCAUGCACGAAAGCGUGGGGAGCAAACAGG